rnacentral:rRNA from 1 species
UACGUAGGGGGCAAGCGUUGUCCGGAAUCAUUGGGCGUAAAGCGCGUGUAGGCGGCUCGAUAAGUCCGCUCUGAAAGCCCGGGGCUCAACCCCGGGAGGCGGGUGGAUACUGUCGAGCUCGAGUCCGGAAGAGGAGUGUGGAAUUCCUGGUGUAGCGGUGAAAUGCGCAGAUAUCAGGAGGAACACCAAUGGCGAAGGCAGCACUCUGGGACGUGACUGACGGCUGAGACGCGAAAGCGUGGGGGAG